GGGAAUGUGGCUUAGUGGUAAGAGUGCCUGCCUAGCAUGCAUGCAGCCCUGGGUUCAAUUUCUCAGCACCA
rnacentral:tRNA from 1 species